GGAGGAGGGAGCCAAAGGCAGUGAACGGUUAUAUAAACCAAGUUAAAAUGUUGACAAGGGUCUUGCCAUUUCUGAAUGUUUCCAACUAUGUAAGGAGAACAUUUUUCAUUGCUAAAAUGGGCAUGUAUAAUUUUUUAAAUUAAUGUUUUUCUUAUUUCAACCAGAAACGGAAGAGUGAAAUCAAAGGAAUUUACACUUCCAAAGAAUUUUUUAGGAACUUUGGAUGCAAAGAAAAAGAGCAGCUUCAUAUGGUACAAUCUCCCACCAUGCUUGGGAUGAGAAGAGAUGUCAAAACCCUGCAACAGAACACAGCUACUCCAGAAAGCAAGGGAUCAUUGACUACUCAUUGAAGCUACAUCUCAACACGUGAUGAUUGCAUUUGUUUCAAGAAGAUUACUGGAAUUUUGUCCAGAAUGGUUUCAGUGCCAGUCCAACAUAAUGUAAAGGUAAGUUUGGGACUAUGGCAACCCACAAUAAUUAUAGAGACUCAUUUGGGGCAGUUCCGUUUAUAGGAAGACAGAUUGAAGUCUCAAACUACUAAAUUCAAACAAAUGAAAAUAUGCUCAAUCCAGGUCAAUUGCUCAGAAAGAAAUGAAAUUAAGCUGCAUUGUUUUAAUCCAAAUGAGUUUUUCAAAAUGUUAUUCGCAAAUAUCCAGCUUUAUCUAAUUUUAUGAUAUAUUUUAUUCUAGGCCCUAACAUUGCUACAGUUUGUCUUAGGGGCCAAGAUAUGGCUGUGACUUGGCUUAAGUGAACCACCAGCUUCUAAGGAGACUUAUCAGGGAGUGUAAGAUAAACAGAAGUCAGCGGUAUGUUCAGGGUUGUUGGACGGGUUUUGAAGGAGGAGGAGAAGGGGCAUCAAAGACUUGCACACCAUCAGAGGUGAGGACGCCCAACUUCUCCGCGUUCCAUUUCCUCUAAUCUGGAUUGGCAUGUCUGACCAAAUUCUUGCCUCUGGUGCCACUUUUAAAAUCCUAAGAGAUGAGAACAUCAGAGUACUAUUUAUUAUAUUUUUAAAAGGAUGGUCUCAAUUCAAAAUGAGGUAGAUCUAUAUUGACUGACGUGCAGCAACUGCAAAGAUACAUUAUUAAACAUUUAAAAAAAGAAAGUUCCAGAAUGUCAUCUAUACUGUGCUAUUUGUGUAUUUUUUUUAAAAAAGGGGGGGGGAGGAGAAAGGUAUAUAUAAAUGCUUUUUUGUGCAUAUCUAGAUUCUAGAAGGAUACAUUAGAAAGAGGUAAAGAUAAAGGGAUCAGAUAAGGGGAUCUUGGGACUGAGAUAUCCACCUACACUAUACGCCUUUCAGAGUUAUACAAUUUUUCUGGGUUGAAAAGGUAAUCGUGAAAUAAAGUGCAACAUUUAAUUGAGAGUUAUAUUUUC
rnacentral:lncRNA from 1 species